UACAGAGGGCUCGAGCGUUAGGCGGAAUCACUGGGCUUAAAGCGUGUGUAGGCGGUCUUGUAAGUGCCUUGUGAAAUCCCACGGCUCACCCGUGGAACUGCUGGGCAUACUGGGAGUCUUGAGCCACCUAGGGGCGAGCGGAACAAAUGGUGGAGCGGUGAAAUGCGUAGAUAUCAUGUGGAACGCCAACGGAGAAAGCAGCUCGCUGGGGGUGUGCUGACGCUGAGACACGAAAGCCAGGGGAGCGAACGGG
rnacentral:rRNA from 1 species